rnacentral:rRNA from 1 species
UACAGAGGGUGCGAGCGUUGUCCGGAAUCACUGGGCGUAAAGGGCGCGUAGGCGGCUUCUUAAGCGUGUGGUGAAAGCGCGGGGCUCAACCCCGCGUCGGCCGUGCGAACUGGGGAGCUGGAGCACGUCAGAGGCAGGCGGAAUUCCGGGUGUAGCGGUGGAAUGCGUAGAGAUCCGGAAGAACACCGGUGGCGAAGGCGGCCUGCUGGGACGUGGCUGACGCUGAGGCGCGACAGCGUGGGGAGCGAACAGG